rnacentral:rRNA from 1 species
UACAGAGGGGGCAAGCGUUGUUCGGAAUUACUGGGCGUAAAGGGCGCGUAGGCGGCCUUCUAAGUCAGACGUGAAAUCCCUCGGCUCAACCGGGGAACUGCGUCUGAGACUGGAAGGCUUGAAUCCGGGAGAGGGAUGUGGAAUUCCAGGUGUAGCGGUGAAAUGCGUAGAUAUCUGGAGGAACACCGAUGGCGAAGGCAGGUCUCUGGGCCGAUACUGACGCUGAGGAGCGAAAGCGUGGGGAGCGAACAGG